UGGGUAUCAAGCACUUAGGAGCUGAGAUAUGUUGCAGGAGGGGGGUGUUUGGGAGCUCCCAUCCCCUGGUAGGGAUGCCCAGUGCCCCUGCCUAAUGCUGACCUGAGCUCUGAAGCUGGAUGGUGGCGAGCUGAGGUGGCAAUGUGCUGUCCUCUGUAACUCAGGAUGUGCGGAGAGACAGAGCACAGCCAGGCUAAGAGAAGCUGGAUGAGGCAUAGAGCUCCUGCUGCCACCCAGGGGAUCCUGGCAGAGCCCCGUGGAGCUUGGAACAUUUCCACGAUUCAUGAGGGAGGCUUUUCCUGGAAGGGACUGAAAGCGGUGGUGAGGCUGUCAGGGUCCCCCACAGCCCGAGUCGGUGGAUAGGGUCAGCCUUUCUGGGUCAGUGAGUAUUCAAUAGUUAUGCUAAUCGAAGAGCUUGGCAAGGCUGAGGCUGCCUCUACAGCUCCCUGUGGUGGUAGCUUUGCUCCUUGCUUUAAACCGUGCAGAGCUCUCAUUGCCGAAGCAAAAGCCCCAGCGCUUGGAUUUGGGGCUGCUGCUGUGGGGGCUUUUCCUGCUGGCAGGGCAUCUUUUCACAUUCACACUACCGGGUUUUCUCUCUCAUACUAGUUAGGAAACAGUACCAAAGCAUCACCAGAGCCCUCCAUGUGAAACAGUCACUGCACAACAUGGGGAGCCCUGAGCUUCCUAUGUCAAAGUCUGUGGCCAAGUCAGGGUCCCCCUGCUGUGCCCACCCAGGCACAGUGGGUGCUCUCUGCAGCUGCUGUUCUCACAGCUCUGUCCCCAGGUGCUGAGCCCAUGGUGUGGGCUUCCUGGCUGGCUGUGUUAGUCAGAGCAAGGCUUGCACACCCUGCUGCUGUCUGGGCUGUUCUAGGGAGUUUCUGCCCUCGUUGCAACACAAGGGUGCUGCUCCCCUGGCUGUCCCGCUGUCUGCACAGUUUGCUUCACCCUCCAGGCUCUUUGAACUGGUCUCUGAGAUCUUUCUUAUCUUUCAAAUCGUCUCAGGACAGGAUUUCACUGGGACACUUAGAAGUUAAUCGUCUAGCUAUGAGGAGAAGAAGGGUGUGUGGUGCUGCCUUCAGCUGCUACCAGCUCCGUGCAGGGCUGUGGCUGUUUCCUCUGCACUCUGGUGGUCCUGGGCUCCUCUCUAAAGGAGAGUUGGGGGCACCCAAAUAAUAGGGCAUCUUUUCCUGAUCACUUGGUGGCUGUGAUGGUGGCCCUGUGUGCUUCUGAAACCACAGCUGCAAGGUUACUGCAGUGACCCAGGAGCUGUACAGUCAGACUGGCCCUCCAGGAGAGGAUACAAGGACUGAGGAAAAACUUAAAAUCCUUGUCUGCAUUGAAAUCUGGUAUUCUGAUAGCAGCUGUGACUGUGGGAGCUUCUGGUCCUGCACUAUUAAUGACAGUACCAAGCUGGUUAACUGCAGUCUGACAAAACCGUGUGGGGCUUGCAUGUGCACUUCAUGCCCUGUUUGCUGUGUUGUGAAAGGCACCUGCUCUGAGAUGUCUGCGGGUGGGCAUGUCAGGAUGCUGGAAACUACCUAGGAUGGAGGUGGCUCCUCUGCCCAGGGCUGACUCACUGUCAGGUAAGAUUACACACAGCCUGCCUUUCUUGUACAAAAUUACAAGAUAAACAGGAGCACUGGCCUACAAGGCUUUUAACCCAGCAGUUUUCCUCUGUACACAAAGAAACAAAGCAGACAAAAUGAGCCAGAGAUGGCCAAUCCAUCAGGCUUCAGCCCUGUUUGAAGCAAAGCAGCCUGCUGCCCAUGGGAUGUGUCGAUCUCGUUAACCAAAUGAGAUGAUAAUGAGAUAACAUGAUCGUGGGGUUCCUCCUGUCAGCUGGAUGAGCACUUUGCAGCCCAGCUUUUCUGCCUGCACACACAGACCUUGCUCACCCACCUGCAGCAGACAGCAGUGGGGGCAGACCAGCCCCCAGCUGGGAGACUGGGCACUGCUGGAGUCUGUGCUCAGAGAAAUCCCACCACCUGCCUUAUAUAAAAUGAAGGAUAAUGAUGUCUAAGCAGAAAUUGCUUGGAGCUGUGAUGGGGAUUAACUAGUUAAGCCCUGCAAAGUGCUGUAGACAUCUGAUGUGCGAUGUUAAUGUCACUGUCUUCAACGCAGGUAAACAACACCCACAUCGCCUGAGAACGUAAAGCAGACUGCUCUCAUUAGGGCUCCCAGGAGAGUGUUUGUAACCUUUUGUGUAUGUGACCUUGUCAAGGCUGAUGUGACCAGCCUGUGUGAAAUAAACUUAUGAAAUA